GGGCAGCACGCCCUUUCCUGCUCGGCCCUUCCUCCCUCCCUCCUUCGAGCGCCCACGUCGGCGCUGCGGCGCUUACCUCCACCUGCGCGGGGCCCCGAGAGCCUGGAAGCCGCCACCCGGCACGCGGCCGCCCGCACCCGAAGGCUUGCGCGGCGCAGGACAGUCGGCCACCGAAGAAAGUGGGGGCGGCGGGGGACAGAGAUGUACAGACUGUGAAGAAAAGGCAGGCGUCCUCGUGGAACCAGCCAGGGGAGGCGCCAAGCUGGAUCUGAACCCGCAAGUGCCUCCACAAAGGAGCCUCUGCGGCAGCCGCCCCGCCACCCUCCCCUGCGCACACGCGCGCACACACGCACACUCAUGCACGUUCAAACCCCGCGCGCGCACACAGAUGCGCGCCAGGCCACCUGCCCAACGCACUUGUUUCUCCCUGGAGCAAGAGGCAGCUCCUGGGUGACCUGUCCCAGCCCGCAUGGCCGAGUCCCAGCCUGGCCAAGGCUUCCCAAAGAGGGUACAGUGCUUAGAAAACUGGUUGGUUUUCAGGAUAAAUGCACGUCUGGCUGUGAUAACAUUCACAUUUGGAGGAGAAAAACAGCUUUCAACUAUAGCAUGAAAGCAUGUCCCUUCUCUCCACUACCCACCAGCAAAAACAAGGGCGUGAGUCUCAAAAAGAGGAGUUAAGGUAAAUUGUCAGAUGCCAAUUUCUUCUGCUACCGGUUCUGUUUCCAGGUUGUUGACCUUCUAAGAAGUUAGAAGAGCAAACAGUAAUUUGAAACCAUAAUACACACAGUAUAGGUAUUGCCCAAACAGAAACCCAACUAACCCACAAUAUUGGGAUGGGAUGGGAUGUAUGUGUGUGUGUGUGUGUGUGUGUGUGUGUGUGUGUGUGUGUCCCUGGGGAAAUACUGUGUGCAGGUUCCUGAAGAAGACUUUGUGGGCACAUGCAGGUGGGAGAAAGGCCAUAUUGGUGACUUAGCAAUUUGUCAAGUCCCUCUUCACUCCCCUUAGAAAUUAAGUUUGUACUUAGUUUAGGGGACCAGCUAUGAACAAUCCCUUUUGCACCAAGCUUCCAUCUUAAUAAGAAGGGAAACACUCUGGGUAUGGUAGCAAAUAAUAAAACCAGCUCAUAACAAUUAGCAUCUUCAUAUUUUUUAAGCCAGACUUAUAAAAACAAUGAAAAUGGUCCAUUUUUGGAAAAAGUAAAGAGGGUAAGCUUUGGGGUAGAAAUACCAUUAUUCAAAGUUGGGUUUUUUUUGUUGUCGUUGCUGUUGUUGUUUUUGCUUUUUAGGGCCACCCCCGUGGCAUAUGGAGGUUCUCAGGUGGGGGCUGAAUUGGAGCUGCAGGUGCCGGCCUACACAACAACCACAGCAACUCGGGAUCCGAGCCGAGUCUGUGACCUACACCACAGCUCACGGCAAUCCCGGAUCCCCAGCCCACUGAGUGAGGCCAGGGAUGGAACCUGAGUCCUCAUGGAUACUAGUCGGGUUCAUUAAUCACUGAGCCACAAUGGGAACUCCCAUUAUUCAAGUUUUGAAUGGACUUGGCCAGAAAUAGAUCCCUAUCAAAGUACACAGCAUCACAGUCAGCUCACCUUUGCAUCCAGGCUAAAACUGCAAGGGGGUGCACUGGGGUUAAACCCAGGACUUCUCACCUUUACCCCUAACUUGCUGGCUCCCUCCUGAAAAAUGAGGUUUCUGUAUUUAAUCUAACUUGGAGAGGUGGUAUUCAGCAUUCAGCCAUUUGUAGUUUAAAAUGGAUGAAAAAAUUUCCCUUCACAUUUCUAAGUUCCUUUUAUCUAGUUUUUUUUUUUUGUGCAUAUGAUCAAUUUUGUGUGUUAAACUGGGCCAUAAAAGAGUAGAACUUAACUAUACAAAGUAGUUUAAUAUUGGUGGUGAUUUCUCAGGACUAGGCUAGAGAAAAGAAGACAUGGCUUUUUUUUUUUUUUUGCCAUAUUUUCUUUUCUUUUCUUUCUUUUUUUUGUCUUUUUUAGGGCCAUACCUGCAGCAUAUGGAGGUUCCCAGGCUAGGGGUCCAAUCGGAGCUGUAGUCGCCAGCCUACACCGCAGCCACAGCAACACAGGGAUCCAAGCUGCCUCUGCGACCUACAACGUGGCUCACAGCAACCCCGGAUCCUUAACCCACUGAGCAAGGUCAGGGAUCGAACCUGCAUUCUCAUGGAUACUAGUCGGGUUUGUUAACCGCUGAGCCACAAGAGGAACUCCUAUAACAUUUUCUUAUUUUAAUUUUCUUAUUUGUAAUUUUUCUCUGGUUUUCUAUAAAACUCUGGAGUUCCUGCCUACCACAUCCCUUUGCUGACAGUGCAGAUGAACACACUUCUGAAUUUUUGAGUUUUGAACUGUCACACUUCCUGCGGGAUGACUGAUGGGCUGUGUUGCUCAUCAGUGGUUUACAAUGGGGUGGGGUAGGACAGGCAGGGUAUGCAUGCAGGUAAACAUAUGACUUUUUAAAUUUUAUUUUUAUUUUUUGUCUUUUUUAGGGCCGCACCGAGGCAUAUAGAGGUUCCUGGGCUAGGGGUCUAAUCGGAGCUGUAGCUGCCGGCCUACACCCCAGCCACAGCAACUCGGGAUCCAAGCCGUGUCUACGACCUACACCACAGCUCAUCCAAGGCCGGAUCCUUAAUCCACUGAGCGAGGCCAGGGAUCAAACCCACAACCUCAUGGUUCCUAGUUGGAUUUGCUAAACACUGCGCCAUGACAGGAACUCCAAACAUACGACUUUAAUUUACACUGUAUAAUGGAAUUUCUUUAAUGCUGGAAAUACUUCUAUUCAAAAAGAAAAAAAGAGGAGUUUUUCUCUUCCCAGGAAAAUUGAUCACUAUGGGUUCUUAUUUAUUCCAAGUUGGAGUCACAAAGAAACACCACACUUGCCAUUUUUUUCAAAUAUUUAUGUAUUUAAUUAUCUUGGCCCUGCCUCAGCAUGCAGAAGUUCCAGGGCCAGGGAUAGAACCCUUGCCACAGCAGAGAUCCCAGCCGCUGCUGGAUCCUUAACCCCCUGAGCCACUGGGUAACUCUAUCACACUGGAAAUUUUAAGAGGAAUAUAAAGUAGGAAAGGCAAAAAAAAAAAAAAAAAAUAAAAUU
rnacentral:lncRNA from 1 species